rnacentral:misc_RNA from 1 species
GUUCCUCGAUCAGAACACCAACCUAUGGAAAUAAAUUAUGUGCCAAAAGAAGAAUGAAGUGUUAAAAUUUGGUACAAAGGAAAAGGGAGCACCUAUCUAACAAGGACAUCACAAUAUAGAACUAAUUGUUGAUAAGAAAGAAAAGGAAGAGAAGCCAGAUAUAUCACCCCUCCCCACCACACCCAUUCCCUCUAUAUGAAGAUUCUGGCUCCACUAAUGUUCACAUAGGUUAUGCAGAGAUUGGAGAGAGUCCAUCAUACAGCAUAUUAGCUUCACGCACACACACUAUGCAAGCAUAUAAAAGCAAUUAAUGUAGACAAUUCACAGCAAAGAGGGGAAAAUAAACAUACCUCUUCUAUGCAGAAUAAGGAACCAGCACUGAUGAAGGUUGCGGGGA